CGCGGCUGAGGCGCUGCGCGGCGGAGGAACCAACAAGCGACGACUCCCGCCUGCGGACCCCUCGCCUGCCAGGACCCAGUGAUGACGCCGAAGACGGCACCGCACGCCGCUCGCCUUCGCUAUAAUCUUCUCCGACGUAUCUGCAAGACAUCCCAUCUGACGGUAACUCACUCUUUGUUCCUUUAUUUAUCUUUUACAGGUUAAAUGCAUUAUUUUUUCUAAUACAUGUUAUAAUAUCUAUUUCAAUAAACAGUUAUUACAA